rnacentral:rRNA from 1 species
GUGAGGAAUUUUCCGCAAUGGGCGAACGCCUGACGGAGCAAUGCCGCGUGAAGGAUGAAGGCCUAUGGGUUGUAAACUUCUUUUCUCAGAAAAGAAUUAUGACGGUAUCUGAGGAAUAAGCAUCGGCUAACUCUGUGCCAGCAGCCGCGGUAAGACAGAGGAUGCAAGCGUUAUCCGGAAUGAUUGGGCGUAAAGCGUCUGUAGGUUGUUUAAAAAGUAUUCUGUCAAAGAUUAGGGCUUAACCCUAGAUAGGCAGAAUAAACUUUUAAGCUAGAGUUUGGUAGAGGCAGAGGGAAUUCCCGGUGGAGCGGUGAAAUGCGUAGAUAUCGGGAGGAACACCAAAGGCGAAGGCACUCUGCUGGGCCAAUACUAACACUGAGAGACGAAAGCGAGGGGAGCAAAUGGGAUUAGAAACCCUUGUAGUCC